rnacentral:lncRNA from 1 species
CUUCUAGAAAACCUGGCCAAUUGGAGGAGCUGGGUUUAGAUGGCCUGUGGAAAGAGACGGCGUAUUUGUUCUAAAAUAUUGGGUUGUCUGAUGAUGCUCCGCCACGAGCUUCUUUGAGAAGCCGAUGCUGUGGCCGAGAAAUUGCCCGGUUAUUUCGACGAAAUCAUGGAUUUCGGUACUGUGAAAUCCAAAUUGGAGAGAGGUGCGUACUCCAACGCUAAUGGCUUUGCUUAUGAGCCUUGUCGUCUCAAAUGCUUUAAGAUAUUAUCCGCUUGGGAGUAUUGAGCAUGCAGCAGCCAAGAAUCUCAGUGGUGUUUUUGAGACCAAGUGGAAAGAAGAUACGGAGAAAAAGCCAAAUGCUAUUUGUCCCCCUCUCCGCAGGGUUUGUUAGUGUCGCCCAAACAGAAACAGGGCAAGAGGUCUUUUACUUCUAGGGUUCUUCAAACUCAAGGGCUUGAGAUUCUCACCCAAUUGAUUCAACCGAAGAUGAUGACUUCGCCACCCUUGUUCAUCAUGCCAUGGAUCCGAUCAGGCCUCCCAUAAUCUUUCUCCAUGUAAGGCUAGCCGAAUUCAGUCACUUGAAGAUACGAUUUUCAGAUACAAUAUUGAAAGCAAACAAGAUAAUUAAGGGUCCACCUGAUAAUCCACCAAGCAGAAAAUUGAUGCAGUGUAAUAAGGAAUGGGGAUUGGCUUGCCGUACCAUUUUGAACAUGAAGAAGUCAAUGUAUUUUGACAACAAACAAUUUACAGGAUGUCAAACAAUUUGAGAUGCUGUGUGGCUGUGCCAGUGAAUAUCCUUUUCUACAGGUCCACCUUAGACUUCACUUAAGAAAUUGGGUGUAUGCCCUCAAGGAAGAUGAUGAGUUGGAAGGUCAGGAUGAGGAGGCUUUUGUGAAUGGAGAUUGGAAGGAAUGUGAGAUCCGCUGGGAGGAAGAAGGGGAUUGAGAGGAAGGCGUGAUUCAUUCAUGAAGGUAAGUGCCAUUGGCUCUGCUAUUUUGUUGUAGAUAUGUAUAUAUUUGGUUAGAGUUUCCACUUUGUUGUUGAUUAGCAAUUGAUGUGAUUCUGAAUUAAUUAAGCAAUUCUUUCCAAGUUGAAUGAUAUAUUGGCAACACCAGUUUCUGUUUCUGUUUGUUCUCUAAUGGUACUUUUGUUUAUUGUUCUAUAUGUUCUAUCUGUCCGAUUCCUUCCACUCAGUUUUCUAUUGCAAAGUAUAUCAUAGUUGAAUAUACUAGGUGGAUCUAGAAUAAGUUUAUGGAACCAUAAAAAGGUUUGUUUUUCGUAUAAAAGAUAAAAAGAACCUCUUUAACUGUAAUGUGCCCAAGUCUCCAGUGGAGCAGAGUUUCUAAAGGGGAUCAGAAACAGUUGUGCAUGUCUGAUUUAAUCCUGGAUAGCCAGACAGAUAUAUUGGCAACUUCACCAUAGUUGAAUAUACUCUAGUAGCUUUCACUUUCUUUUUAAUUACUGUUGAUCACCAGUACAAUUUUUGUAUUUCGCCAAAAUAUAUGAAAUUUUGAUCACCAGUUGUGUAGUAAAUAUAUCCAACCAUGGCAAGCUUUCAUCUUGCCUAGUUAUUCAUCUGUUAUUUCUUCUUAUAAAUAAAAGAUUAAAAAAUAACUCUCUUUUACUGUACUUUCUGAUGCCUAAUAUGUACUGGAGCAGAGUUUCUAAUGAGGAAAGACAGAUUUAAAUGCUCCGGCUCCUGCUAAUCAAAUUAUGUGUAUUCAAGUUUUUUUUUUUUUUUAAUUGAAUAAGGAAUGAUAAUAAUAGAUUUUAGCAUCUGUACAAACAAAUGAUUUCUUAUAAAAGAUGUUCAGUGUCUGUGCCCCUUUUGUUUUUUUUUUUUUUGGUGAAAACAUCUUCUUCCCACUUGUUUCUGGGUAAUAAAAGUUCUCGGCAGCUAGAAAUCAUAAGAUCUGCUUAACUUUCUAUCACAUUUGGUAGAGCCUGAUGGUUUUCUUUCCCUAUGAACUUGAACCAGAGUGCAAUUCCAAACUCCUGCUAAUCAAGUUGAUGCAUCUUUAAGUUAGUUUUGAUUAAAUAAGGAAUGAAAUGAUGAAUGCUUCUGAGUAUUUAGCAUUUGUACUAUCUCUUUGCGUCAAUAAUGUCAUAAUAUGAAGGAAAACUAUGGUGUGCGUGCCCACUCGUCUAAUCCCAGCAUUGGCAUUUGCUUCAGUAAAGUAACUCUGAUAAUCUGGUACCCCAUCUUAAUUUCUCCUCUAAAUUUAUGAAAUAACCCAAUUAGUGUUUUUUUUUUUUUUUUUUUUUUUUUGUCUUUUGUGGCUUAGAUUUCUCUCUCCUGUUUUUUGUUUCCAGGGGUCUCAUUUAUGUUGUUGUCACUAUAAUUAUGUCGUCAUAUGUCACUAUGGUUAUGUUGUCAUAUCAUAUGUCACAUAUGACAUUUCACUAUGGUUAUGCUUUAGAGUUUUAAGUUACAUGUUCUCUGCACGUAUCCAAAUUUCAUAUCAGUAUGAUUUUUCACUGAGAACUUGGGUUGAUGAAGAAGAGAGGUUAUAGUUUUUAGAGGAUACUAUCUGCAUCUUUUGAGAUCUUGAGAUAGUGUGAGCAUUAUUAUAGAUUAGAAUCCCUAGCAAGCAGCAUUGGGUUUUUAUUUAUUAUAUAGAGCUCUAGUUAGAGUUUAUUUAGUAUUGUAUUAUUUCUUCCCUUUAAGUCCUCUCAAUUUUUCUUUAAUUAUACUUUUCCUGGCUCUAUAGUUUCUAACUGUUUGAGGUUUCCAAGUGUUAUGUGUAUCAGAGUAGAAUACCUAGUAAGGUUGGCUUGGCACAUCAUAAUAUGACUAGUUUUACCCUUCUGCAGUUUAAUCUUCUGCUCUAAACGGGCUGUGAUUCAUGUUAAUUUGUUGCAUUAUGUACAACUUGAGUGCCCUAUUUUCUGAGAUAAAAUUCCAUCCGAUUUCUAAUUUCAUAUGGAUGAUUUAGAAUCUUGAUAUCAGUCACUCUCUUUUAAGAGCACCUUGUUUGUACAUGAAGUUUGUAUCUUCUGUUUGUGUGUGUGUAGUUUUCUUGUGGCUUUCCAGAUAGUCGAUGAAAUGCCUUUUCGAUAGGCUUCCAUGUAUGUAAUCACCAUUAAUUGUCCAUUUUUCGUUAAGUUGAGGAUUGCAACUUAUAAUGCGUGGUCACAUAUACAGUUCUGUAAUCUUAAUCUAUUCAGUUAUUCCAACGUUAUGCUUAACUCUCGUGUUUUAUUCAUUCAGUUUGAUAUAAUUUGGUGUCUUAUCAUUCUGAUGCAAAAAAUUUCUCUCAGCCUUGUCAUUAUGGGUAACAACACUGAGUUUCAAAGCGCAGUUGUUUGGCUUUCUGAAAAUUUAACGCUUGUCGAUGCAAGAGUUAAUCUUGUUGAG